CAUCACAGUAGGGGUCAGGAAUUGUCUCCAUUGGCUGGAGUCAAAUGAGGUAGGCCAACCCAUUUCCCCCUUGCCCUUCCCAUGCUGACAAGCUGGUGGCUUGUGGCUGGNCANCCNCCCNCUCCAAAACACUGCCCUUGAAGCCUGNCAAGAUGGCCAGCCCUGCCCUGACAGCUGUGCAGGCCACACCUGGCUUAAGAAAGCUGACCGUGAGGCUAGGAGGCAGCAGCCUCCCCACAGCCUGCCCAGGUUUAUGUCAUCUGUGACAGCUCUAAGGGCAAAGGGUCCCCAGAAGAACAGGUUGGAGGGAGGAGCCCACAUUUGGGGUUUCUGUAUGGGAAAGGACUGUGGUUCCAAUUCCAAGGUCAACAGCCACAGUUUCAUGGCCAAGAUAGAUUCUUUCGUGAGUGUGUGUGUGCACACCACCACACACCUACAUGUGAAGGGGAAAGAGGAUACUUGGGGAAAAGACACUGAGCCUGGUAUAGCCUAGAGGAGCACUCUAUUUCCCAGUGUAAAACUGCCAGGGACCCAUAUCUGACAGCCUUUGGCAAAUUCUCCAAGUACCCCAAACUGGGGAUGUUUCCAUGCGGAUGCUGGUCCCUAGUUCAAGGCAAUUCAGCAAAGCUUUAUGAAGCAACUUCUCUACAAAAGGCACAACUGAGGGCCCCCAGUGGACUGAGAGCACUGCUGGGACAGCGGGAGGCCUAGCAGCAGAAACCCACGGCCCUGGGGCAGGGGGCACCCCCGCUGCUCCCGCUCACUGCUCCAAGACCUUGAAGGACAGGGGGGUGCCACUCUUGGCAAAGGCCUUCAUCAGACUGCUGGGAUAGAUGCACCCCAGCUUCUCUGGGGUUGGGAAGCCCCAUAUCCUAUAGAGUGACAGGCUCAGCCGGUCCCCGAUAUAGAAGGGACCCACCCAUUUGGCACUGCUGCCAUUCCUGGGGAGGGACAGCAAGAGGACUUGGUCACCCACAUUCCACUCCUUCUCCUGGCUCUCCCGCUUGAAACGCCUGUUCUCGGCCUUUUCACUCACCUUGUCAGCCACCCUCCAGUGGAGCUCCAGCAGCUCCCCCACCAGCUGUAGCAGGAAGACGUCCAUCUUGAGCCCUUCAAUGUUUGCGCUGCUCAUCUCCCACCACAGGGGCUCCGUGAGCCUUGACUCACCCCCGGUCAGGACCUUGAACGGUGUGGCAUCAGUGGAGGAGGCCCUGAAGGCCAGGUGCAACAAAGGCAGGGAGGCCGCCCACUUCUUCCCAUGCAGGAAGAUGAACUCCUUGAGGGCCCUCUUGAAUUCCCAGUAGGCCCCUGAGCUCGUCAGGCAGGGGAACUGGAGGUCCCUACUCAGGGAGGCCACCUGGGCUCCCAGGGCCAGCCCACAGCUCACAAGGACGUGCCGGGCAAACUGGGGCCCCUGGGCUGCCUCCAGCCUCACAGGAACACCCCAUCUUGCAAACACAUGCUGAAGCAGCACCUGGGCCACAGCCGUGUGUGUGUAGGGCUUCAGGGGGAAUGCCUCCACCCACCUGGUGUUUGGGUCAGCCACAAUAAGUACAUGCUUAUGGCCCUCUUCACUUAUGGUGACCGGGCCCACCACCUCGAUCUGCAGGUUCGACCAGGGGGCGGUCGACCUGAGGGGCCAUGGGGACUCAAUAACCUUCAACUCGCUGCCUAUGAGAUUUCGGGGGAUGCAGAACAAGCAGCUCCUGCAGUAAUCUUUCACAUGCUCCUGCAUCCCAGGCCACCACCCCAGCAAACGCAACUUCUUGUAGGUCUCUUCGGGCCUCUGGUGGGCCCCCAAGGGAAUGUCAUGCACAGAGAAAAUCAGAUCCCUCCGGAGUUGCGUCGGGACUACCCAGACCCUGGGCUUCUUAUCUCCCUUGAACAUAAGCAGGCCACUCUCCUUGUCGAGGCUGAGUGAGUUAAAGGCAGAACUAAACGGUGAGGAGCCAGACAGUUUCUGCCCAGCCUGCAGCCUGGCAAUGAUAUCGGCCAGGGUGCUGUCACUCAGCUGUAAUGCCAGCAAAUUGGGCCUCUUGCCCAUGGCAUGGGGACUCACUGUAGGGGCUGGCACAUCCUUUGGCAAACUCCACCACUGCCCACCCCCCUGGGCACCCUGCUUGGCCAGGGUGUCCACUGUCACAGCAAACAGAGAGCCCCGGUAGGAGGUUCGGUAGAUAAACGGAAGGGAUGAGAGGCCAGAGGUGAGGGAUAUAAUGUAGGAGAGCAGGCUUGGGUGAGGGAGUGGAGCCCCAUCAGAGGAGAGGAAGCCCCGAGCCCUCCAGAGGGGCAGGAGCUCCCACAGGAGGCUGAAGAUCCAGUUGCAGUGAGUGAGGAAAACCACUGGGAGUGGGGACUGGCCAAAGCGCUCCAGGCCGCAGGCCACGGCUGCCAGGUGGGCAUAGGUUGGCGUGUAAGGGGAGCAUGAGAAGGAAAGGGAGACAGGGGGGCUGGUGGGCGAUAGAACAUAGAGACCAAAGCCAGCACACCACUCAUCCUCACGGUAGAAGCAGUAGCCAGACAUGUGGAUGCAGACGAACGUGGACAGGUCAGAGAAAGGCGGCAGAACCUGGAAGAAGCGAGGCAUGGAGGCCGCGGGGGUGAGCAGGCGGUUCUCCCCCAGCAGGCCCUGGAGGAGGGCCAAUUCCAGGGCCCUCUUGCCUUUGUCCUGAACCAAGAGGGACCAUCGGAUCAACCAAGCUUUGGAAACCCUGCGGCCCUCCUGCACCUCAGGGUCCGCAGUGGUCCGGGAGGCAUAGGAAAGGUCCAGGACCACCGGGGUGUCUCCAAUGCAGCGGGAAAAAUGCUUGAGGGCCCAGGCAACAGCAUAGGGGCUGUCUCCCCCUGACUGGGGGCCCUGGCUCUCCUCGUCAGGGAGGAGGGGUUUUGAGGUAUAGGCUAUGGGGUGCUUCCUCCCUGAGUGCUCCUGAUGGAGGAUGGCCGUCAGGGCCACGUGGCUCACGGUCACCUCCAGGCGGAAGGGCAGCUGGGAGUUGGGGGCCAUCAGGCAGAGGGCAGACACCAGGGCUCGCUUCAGGGCCAGGAAGGCCUCCUCAUGCUCCUGGUCCCACUGCCAGUCAGGCUUCUGCUUGAGGAGGCUGUGCAGGGGGCCCACUAGGGCUUCAUAGUCAGGGAUGGCAUCCCUGUGGGAGUCCAUGAAGCCCAUGAAGAAGGAGAGUGCAGUGAAGUUGCUGGGGAUGGUGAGCUGGGCCAGGUGGGCAAGAACCUGCUGGCAGGGAGCCUUUCCAUCCCAGGGGAUGCCUAGGUAGGGAGAAGCUGCCCCUGGCAGGAGGUCGAUGUCCAGGGCCCCAUCGGGGGGAUCAUGGAGGCUGAGGCACCGCAGGAUCUCCUCCGAAAGGGACGGGCACUCCACCCUGAACACUGACGCCAGCGAAGAGUCAAGAUCGUCCUCCUCAGCCACCUUCUGUGUGCCCUGCCCCUGUCUCUGCUCCUCAUCCUGCCUCUCCUCCUUCUCUUCCCUGACUUCUUCCAUAUUCGGCAGACUCUCCAGGGGCCCAGAGUCAGCGUCAUCACUCAGCUCAGUGACACUGGCUGAGCUGGGAGGAAGGGUCUUCCACACCUUCAGGAAGUUGCCAAUGUCAGUGUCCAACCUACACCAAAACAGAUGGAAGAGGGAAGGGCAGCCCCGUCGUGAGCAAUCCUCCAAAGGGAAAGCACCUCUGUGGAAACCCCAUUCCAAAGUGUCCUGAGGCUGGGCCAAGUGCCAACAACUUGCAUGGCAUAG
rnacentral:lncRNA from 1 species